AGGUCCGAACCCACGAGCGUUGAAAAGCUCGGGGAUGACUUGUGGGUAGCGGUGAAAUUCCAAUCGAGCCCGGAGAUAGCUGGUUCUCCCCGAAAUAGCUUUAGGGCUAGCCUCAAGGUGAGAGAUACGGAGGUAGAGCACUGAAUGUCCUAGGGGGUAUUGCACCUACCGAAGACUAUCAAACUCCGAAUGCCGUCAUCUUAUACUUGGGAGUCAGACUGUGGGUGAUAAGAUUCAUAGUCGAAAGGGCAACAGCCCAGAUCGUCAGCUAAGGUCCCUAAAUGUAAGUUAAGUGGUAAAGGAUGUGGGAUUGCACCGACACCCCCGCACUUGUCUUACCAGCCGCCCACCCUUCCAUCAGUUCGUCCUUACUCCCUAGUCGUUUGAUCCUGCGCCGAAACUUUCUGGGGCUCCCACUUACUACCCCAUCUCCGCCCUCCGUAAUGCUGGUCAGGGGAGCUUCCCAUACGGGUUGAAGCAUGACCGUAAGGACAUGUGGACAGUAUGGGAGUGAGAAUGUUGGCAUGAGUAGCGAGAUGUGGGUGAGAAUCCCACAGGCCGUAAACCCAAGGUUUCCAGGGGAAGGUUCGUCCGCCCUGGGUUAGUCGGGACCUAAGCUGAGGCCGAAAGGCGUAGGUGAUGGACAACAGGUUGAUAUUCCUGUACUACCGAUAACCGUUUGAGAGAAGGGAUGACACAGUAGGAUAAGCUAAGCACACUGUUGGUUAUGUGUGCCCAAGCAUUGAGGCAGUCAAAGUAGGCAAAUCCGCUUUGAUAAUGCUGGGAUGUGAUGGGGAGCGAAAUUUAGUAGCGAAGUAGCUGAUUUCACACUGUCAAGAAAAGUCUCUAUCGAGGGUAAAGGUACCCGUACCGCAAACCGACACAGGUGGGUGAGGAGAGUAUCCUAAGGCCAGCGAGAGAACUGUUGUUAAGGAACUCGGCAAAAUGACCCCGUAACUUAGGGAUAAGGGGUGCCACCAUCAGGUGGCCGCAGAGAAUAGGCCCAAGCGACUGUUUACCAAAAACAUAGGUUUCUGCUAAGUCGCAAGACGAUGUAUAGGAGCUGACGCCUGCCCGGUGCUGGAAGGUUAAGGGGAUCUGUUAGAGCAAUCGAAGCAGUGAACUUAAGCCCCAGUAAACGGCGGCCGUAACUAUAACGGUCCUAAGGUAGCGAAAUUCCUUGUCGGGUAAGUUCCGACCCGCACGAAAGGCGUAACGAUUUGGGCACUGUCUCA
rnacentral:rRNA from 1 species